rnacentral:rRNA from 1 species
GAGUUUGAUCCUGGCUCAGAACGAACGCUGGCGGCGUGGAUAAGACAUGCAAGUCGAACGGGACAUUAUUUGUAGCAAUACAGAUGAUGUUCAAGUGGCGAAAGGGUGCGUAACACGUGGGCAAUCUACCGAGAAGUGGGGGAUAGCUCGCCGAAAGGCGAAUUAAUACCGCAUAUGACCCUGGGUAUCCUUACCUGGGCGUCAAAGCCGGGGCAACCUGGCGCUUCCUGAUGAGCCCGCGGCCUAUCAGCUAGUUGGUGAGGUAACGGCUCACCAAGGCUAUGACGAGUAGCUGGUCUGAGAGGACGACCAGCCACACUGGAACUGAGACACGGUCCAGACACCUACGGGUGGCAGCAGUCGAGAAUUUUUCACAAUGGGGGAAACCCUGAUGGAGCGACGCCGCGUGGAGGAUGAAGGUCUUCGGAUUGUAAACUCCUGUCAUUGGUGAACAAGAUCGGCCGGGUAACUCCGUUGCCGGUUUGCUAGUAGCCGAAGAGGAAGGGACGGCUAACUCUGUGCCAGCAGCCGCGGUAAUACAGAGGUCCCGAGCGUUGUUCGGAUUUAUUGGGCGUAAAGGGUGCGUANGCGGCGGAGUAAGUUGGGUGUGAAAUCCCGGGGCUUAACCUCGGAAUGGCAUUCAAUACUGCUUCGCUAGAGUACUGGAGAGGAGGCUGGAAUUUACGGUGUAGCAGUGAAAUGCGUAGAUAUCGUAAGGAAGGCCGGUGGCGAAAGCGAGCCUCUGGACAGUUACUGACGCUGAUGCACGAAGGCCAGGGGAGCAAACGGGAUUAGAUACCCCGGUAGUCCUGGCAGUAAACGGUGCGCGUUUGGUGUGGGGGGAUUCGACAAUCUCCGCGCCGGAGCUAACGCGUUAAACGCGCCGCCUGGGAAAUACGGUCGCAAGAUUAAAACUCAAAGAAAUUGACGGGGGCCCGCACAAGCGGUGGAGUAUGUGGCUUAAUUCGAUGCAACGCGAAGAACCUUACCUAGGCUUGACAUGCAUCGCUAAGUUGGUGAAAGCCAGCGAGUCCCGCAAGGGAUACUUUGCA